rnacentral:rRNA from 1 species
CACGUAGGCGGACUGGAAAGUUGGGGGUGAAAUCCCGGGGCUCAACCUCGGAACUGCCUUCAAAACUAUCAGUCUGGAGUUCGAGAGAGGUGAGUGGAAUUCCGAGUGUAGAGGUGAAAUUCGUAGAUAUUCGGAGGAACACCAGUGGCGAAGGCGGCCUACUGGGCACCAACUGACGCUGAGGCUCGAAAGUGUGGGUAGCAAACA